GCGUGCUUAACACAUGCAAGUCGAACGGUAACAGAAGAGCUUGCUCUUGCUGACGAGUGGCGCACGGGUGAGUAAUGCAUAGGUAACGUGCCCCUUAGUCUAGGAUAGCCACUGGAAACGGUGAUUAAUACUGGAUACUCCUUCUUCCUUAAUGGAAGUUGGGAAAGUUUUUCGCUAAGGGAUCGGCCUAUGUUGUAUCAGGUAGUUGGUGAGGUAAUGGCUCACCAAGCCUAUGACACAUAGCGGGUCUGAGAGGAUGAUCCGCCACACUGGUACUGAGACACGGACCAGACUCCUACGGGAGGCAGCAGUGGGGAAUAUUGCACAAUGGACGAAAGUCUGAUGCAGCAACGCCGCGUGGAGGAUGACACAUUUCGGUGCGUAAACUCCUUUUAUAUAAGAAGAUAAUGACGGUAUUAUAUGAAUAAGCACCGGCUAACUCCGUGCCAGCAGCCGCGGUAAUACGGAGGGUGCAAGCGUUAUUCGGAAUCACUGGGCGUAAAGGGUGCGUAGGCGGUUUGAUAAGUCUGAUGUGAAAUCCUAUGGCUCAACCAUAGAACUGCAUUGGAAACUGUCAAACUAGAAUACUGAAGGGGCAGAUGGAAUUAGUGGUGUAGGGGUAAAAUCCGUAGAUAUCACUAGGAAUACCGAAAGCGAAAGCGAUCUGCUGGGAAGUUAUUGACGCUGAGGCACGAAAGCGUGGGGAGCAAACGGGAUUAGAUACCCCGGUAGUCCACGCCCUAAACGAUGAAUGCUAGUCGUCGGAAAGCUCGUCUUUUCGGUGAUGCAGUUAACACAUUAAGCAUUCCGCCUGGGGAGUACGGU
rnacentral:rRNA from 1 species